CCCAGCUGCCUGGCUGCCCUCAGCUUCCCAAAGCUCAAAUAAGAGGGGCCGGCGGCGCGGGGAAGAGGAGGAGCCAGGAGGCUCGGCCGCUCCAUUCACUCAGCAGCCCAAGCCCGGCCAGGCAGCGCGCGCUGCUCCUUGGGGGCGCCCUCGCAGCUGGGGUGAGGGCGGGUCCGAGGGAGCGUCCCUCUCGGAGACACCCUCCUCUUCAACCCAACACGCGCUCUCAGCUGGCCGGUGUGGCACAACCCUCCCCCCACCUCCCCUUCUUGGCCUUCGCCAGUGUGGGAGCCUCGUCUCACUGGAGAGUCCGUUCAGGCUCUGUCACUAUUUCCCAUUGGCCAAACGCUACUGGAAGUGGAAGGCUAAGAAGCCCGAUGGUGCAAUCCAUACACGUCAGCCUCUGGGGCCAGAGUGGGAUGAAAAAAGGCUCAUGAUGGAGCCCGAGUUAUAUGGCAGGAGAUGAUUUCCACGGUCUGUGAACACUGAAGAUGAGACUGGCUUGGGGCCACGUGCCAAACUGCACAGCCAGUAAGACCUGCUUCCAUCGACCCACAGCAGCUCUGACUUUUUUUUUUUAACAAUAGAGAAGAAACUACCACAGGGAAGAGAGAGAACAAUGGCAUUUUGACAAAUGGAACAAAGAUAGAGUGUGACUGACAAUUCAGGUCAGAAGGAAAAUUAAAGCACAGGAAGACUGAUGUUGGUCGGCCUCCUUGCCAAGAAGCAAAAACUCAGGGGGAGGCAUCCAGCCACAUGCGAACUGGCUCAACACUGGCCAUUUUGUUUGAGCAAUUUUGUUGGAUGUUUUCUACAAAAGAGCACUUUUUCUCGGACUUCAAACAUUCUUAUAUGCAGGAUCGACACCACACACUGCCAUCAUCCCCUGGAGUAGUAUCCUUGAGACCUGAGGAGGGGAAAACUGGAGGGACGUUGUGGGACUCCAUUGAGAAAUGUGGUCCUUUGUCUCCCUGGAGAUCUUUGAGGACGGUUCAGAUAAAGUUGCUGCCAGUGGAAGCAGCUAGGCUCAGAAACCUCCAGUUGCCCUUUCUAGACUUGUAAUCCUCUGAAAAAUGGAAAUUAGGAAGCGUUCAUUUAUGACCUUGAAAAAAAUCGUUUACAAAAGUAUAUUAUAUCACUAAAAUGAGCUGGAAAAAGGGUUUAUGUGAAAGUUCAUGUGAGAAACACAGCUAUUAGCACGCAUGCCAUUCCCCACCUUGACCUCAGCAGGAAUGUGUAAAUUGUAACAUAUGGAAUGUAAGCCCUGUCGAGAUGUUUCAUAAAUCUGCCUGGCAAUGAGCAUCACAAGGCCCUGCAUGAGAACAGGCCCCAGAAAUGGAGAGACAGUGAGUAUUGUGCCUGACAACUUCUAAUUUUAAUAAGUCCAGACUGACGAUUGAAAAUUUCCACAUAAUGUUCUUUAAUAAUAUUGAUUAUUUCCUGACAAAGGGGCACUUUUUCAUGGAACUCAACCCAGGUAAUCCAUCCAUCCAUCCAUCCAUCCAUCCAUCCAUUCAAGAUAUAUCUACUGAAGGCCUACAAUAUUGCAGGUGGCAUGCUGGGCACUGCAGAUACAAUGGAGGACAGGAGGGAUAUUGUGUUGCCCCUGUAGGGUUUACUAUAUGUAGGAAAACAGAUAUGAAACAAAUAAUAGAGUUUGAGACCAGCCUGGCCAACAUGGUGAAACCCUGUCUCUACUAAAAAUACAAAAAUUAGCUGAGCGUGGUGGACGGGCACCUGUAAUCCCAGAUACUCGGGAGGCUGAGGCAGGGGAAUCACUUGAACCCGGGAGGCAGAGUUUGCAGUGAGCCAGGAUUGCACCAUUGCACUCUAGCCUGGGCGACAAGAACUAAACUCUGUCUUCCAAAAAAUAAUGAUAAUAAUUUUAUAAUUGCAAUUUUGAUCAAUGCUGUAAAGGAAAAUAGUAGCUUCUACUGAUAGUAGCACUCUGCCAAAGUUUCUACAUGCAUGAUCUCAUUUAAUUCUCAUAACAAUUCUCUGCAGUAGGUACUACCAAUAGCUCCAUUUUAGACAUGAAUAGAGACAUGGAGGUUUACAUGUAUCACCCAAGGUCACGCAGCUCUGGAGUGGUGGAGUUAGAAUACAAAGUCAGUCUGAGUCCCCAUCCCAAGUUCCUGAUACCAUACCAUUUUUUUUUUUAUAUAACCUGGGUGAGGAAGUGGGUGCUGAUUUAGAUUUGAAGAUUAAAGAAAAUAUCUUUCAGGAUGAGAUUUUAGGCCAAGCCUCAAGGAUAAGUAGGUAUUAACCAGGCAAAAUAAAGUAGCAGGAGUAUUCCAGAAUUGGGGAAUUGCAUGUCAAAGGCCCUGAGGCAGGAAGGUGGGUGGCCGUGGGUGUUCAUGGGGAGGCCAGAGUGACAGGAUUGGGUGGCGUGUGGGGCAAGGCUGGAGAGGCAGAAAAGAGUCAGAGUAGGUGGGGCCUUGUAAAUCAUGUUAAGAUAUCUUGAACUAAAUCCUGAC
rnacentral:lncRNA from 1 species